rnacentral:rRNA from 1 species
UGGGACUGAGACACGGCCCAGACUCCUACGGGAGGCAGCAGUGGGGAAUAUUGCACAAUGGGCGAAAGCCUGAUGCAGCGACGCCGCGUGAGGGAUGACGGCCUUCGGGUUGUAAACCUCUUUCAGCAGGGAAGAAGCGAAAGUGACGGUACCUGCAGAAGAAGCGCCGGCUAACUACGUGCCAGCAGCCGCGGUAAUACGUAGGGCGCAAGCGUUGUCCGGAAUUAUUGGGCGUAAAGAGCUCGUAGGCGGCUUGUCACGUCGGUUGUGAAAGCCCGGGGCUUAACCCCGGGUCUGCAGUCGAUACGGGCAGGCUAGAGUGUGGUAGGGGAGAUCGGAAUUCCUGGUGUAGCGGUGAAAUGCGCAGAUAUCAGGAGGAACACCGGUGGYGAAGGYGGAUCUCUGGGCCAUUACUGACGCUGAGGAGCGAAAGCGUGGGGAGCGAACAGGAUUAGAUACCCUGGUAGUCCACGCCGUAAACGUUGGGAACUAGGUGUUGGCGACAUUCCACGUCGUCGGUGCCGCAGCUAACGCAUUAAGUUCCCCGCCUGGGGAGUACGGCCGCAAGGCUAAAACUCAAAGGAAUUGA